rnacentral:rRNA from 1 species
GAUGAACGCUGGCGGCGUGCCUAAUACAUGCAAGUCGAGCGAACAGACGAGGAGCUUGCUCCUCUGACGUUAGCGGCGGACGGGUGAGUAACACGUGGAUAACCUACCUAUAAGACUGGGAUAACUUCGGGAAACCGGAGCUAAUACCGGAUAAUAUAUUGAACCGCAUGGUUCAAUAGUGAAAGACGGUUUUGCUGUCAAUUAUAGAUGGAUCCGCGCCGCAUUAGCUAGUUGGUAAGGUAACGGCUUACCAAGGCAACGAUGCGUAGCCGACCUGAGAGGGGGAACGCCCACACUGGACCUGAGACGCGGUCCAGACUCCUACGGGAGGCAGCGGUAGGGAAUCUUCCGCAAUGGGGGAAAGCUUGACGGAGCAACGCCGCGUGAGUGAUGAAGGUCUUCGGAUCGUAAAACUCUGUUAUUAGGGAAGAACAAAUGUGUAAGUAACUAUGCACGUCUUGACGGUACCUAAUCAGAAAGCCACGGCUAACUACGUG